rnacentral:misc_RNA from 1 species
AUCUAGCUCAUUCUCAACAAAUUUGGCUCGUUCUCGGCGGAUCCGACACGUUCUCCAGCAGCUCAUUCACUGCAGAUUAUUUUCUACAAACUAAGGAAAAUUAACCCAUUCAGCUACUCAAUUUGGCAAAGCAAUCCUUUGAGCACUUCGAAUCUCCUGCGUGGUAGAGAAGAAGAAGAAGAAGAAGAAGAAAGAUGGGAGAGAGAAAGGUUUUGAACAAGUAUUAUCCGCCCGAUUUUGAUCCAUCGAAGCUUCCCCGAAUUAGGAGGCCAAAAAACCAGCAGAUUAAGGUCCGGAUGAUGCUUCCAAUGAGUAUACGUUGCAACACUUGUGGCAAUUAUAUAUAUAAGGGCACCAAGUUCAAUUCUCGCAAGGAAGAUGUCAUCGGUGAGACAUAUCU